rnacentral:rRNA from 1 species
UACGUAGGGGGCAAGCGUUGUCCGGAAUUAUUGGGCGUAAAGAGCGCGUAGGCGGUCCGAUAAGUCGGCUGUGAAAGUCAGGGGCUCAACCCUUGAAAGCCGGCCGAUACUGUCGGACUAGAGUCCGGAAGAGGCAAGUGGAAUUCCAGGUGUAGCGGUGAAAUGCGUAGAUAUCUGGAGGAACACCGGUGGCGAAGGCGGCAUCCUGGACCGGUAUUGACGCUGAGGCGCGAAAGCCAGGGGAGCAAACGGG